CGGGGCGUGGCUCAGCUUGGUAGAGCGCUGCGUUCGGGACGCAGAGGUCGCGUGUUCGAAUCACGUCGCCCCGA
rnacentral:tRNA from 2 species